rnacentral:tRNA from 1 species
GUCCCCUUCGUCUAGUGGUUAGGACACGAGAUUUUCAUUCUCGCAACGUGGGUUCGAUUCCCGUAGGGGACG